CUGAAAAGUUCAUAUUCUCUGUUUCAUAUAGCAAUACAAACUUGAAUUCAACAAUAAAAGCUAGAAUUACUUAAAGGUGUUAUUUUGAGGACUAAAUCUCAAGGCUUGUCCCUAUGUUCUGCCUAUGGAGAAAAAAAAAGAUCCAAAAUAAAAAAAUAAAAAAUCUUGUUCAAUGGAAUUCUGAAUAAACACACAAAAAAAACUACAGUCCACAAGCAAAAAACUAAUCUUAGCACUGAUGGUGGGAUGGUCCAAGAAUGUGUGUUGACUCCUGCAUAUUGGAACAUUUUGUUACACCCAUAAUUAACCCAAGAAAUGUAAAAAUACUUUUUGUAAACGCUCAAAGUCCUUGAUAUUCACAUGAGAGUUUGCAAUUACAACUCUCAGAAAAUAUUUUGGAUGUGGGGCAAAAGUAGAAUCCCCAGGAUGUACUUGAAAACAACAGCAAUCUGAAUGUACCUUUCCUGGUUAAAUACUUUGUUAUUAAGUGUUCUUGCAUAGCAAGACCACUUAAUGUUAUCUCACAUAUAUAUUAUUAUUAUAGCCAAAUUUACCACCCUAACUCCUCCCACAGUUUUUACACUACAUAGACAGUAAUAUACAAUGCAGAUUGUUCCCGAUUGAUGUGCUAUUACUUUGUGGAACGUUUUGCCGAAUGGUUCACGGAAUAUCGUCGUUCUUGUGGCGAAAUUGGUC